UGGGGAAUAUUGGACAAUGGGCGCAAGCCUGAUCCAGCCAUGCCGCGUGAGUGAUGAAGGCCCUAGGGUUGUAAAGCUCUUUCACCGGUGAAGAUAAUGACGGUAACCGGAGAAGAAGCCCCGGCUAACUUCGUGCCAGCAGCCGCGGUAAUACGUAGGGGGCUAGCGUUAUCCGGAUUUACUGGGCGUAAAGGGUGCGUAGGUGGUCUUUCAAGUCGGUGGUUAAAGGCUACGGCUCAACCGUAGUUAGCCUCCGAAACUGGAAGACUUGAGUGCAGGAGAGGAAAGUGGAAUUCCCAGUGUAGCGGUGAAAUGCGUAGAUAUUGGGAGGAACACCAGUAGCGAAGGCGGCUUUCUGGACUGCAACUGACACUGAGGCACGAAAGCGUGGGUAGCAAACAGG
rnacentral:rRNA from 1 species